rnacentral:sRNA from 1 species
AAAAUAUGUGGCGAGGAUAGGAUGAGAACCGUAAAAGGUUCGAGCCGAGCGCAGCGAGACAACCGAGGAGCUUGCGACGAUGGCCCGGAGGGCGCAGUAAUCCUAUACGUCCCACCA